rnacentral:rRNA from 1 species
CGAGCACGCGCGUGUGGCAUAUCAAUAAGCGGAGGAAAAGAAACUAACAAGGAUUCCCUUAGUAACGGCGAGUGAAGCGGGAAGAGCUCAAAUUUGAAGUCUUCAAGGUUCUACCUUGACGAAUUGUAGUUUAUAGAAGUGUUUUCUGUUAGUGGAGUGGCAAAAGUUCUUUGGAAUAGGACAUCAUAGAGGGUGAGAAUCCCGUAUUUGGUCAUUCCUCCUAGCGUUGUGAUACACUUUCAACGAGUCGGAUUGUUUGGGAAUGCAGUCCAAAAUGGGUGGUAAAUUUCAUCUAAAGCUAAAUAUUGGCGAGAGACCGAUAGCGAACAAGUACCGUGAGGGAAAGAUGAAAAGAACUUUGAAAAGAGAGUUAAACAGUACGUGAAAUUGUCAAAAGGGAAGCGUUUGACACCAGUGUUGUUUUUCCGAAAAUCAAUUACGAAUGUUUUGUUUUUGAGGAGUUAUGACUUCAUCGGCUUGCUCCUUUCUUUAUGAACUUAAUGCACUUUUCGGUUAACAAGUCAACAUCAAUUUCUUUUGCUGUAAAAGGGUAUGAGGAAGGUGGCUUUCUUUUCGGAGAAAGUGUUUAUAGCCUUGUGCCUCUGCAAUCGGAGAGAUUGAGGUCUGCAGCGUAGAUCCUUCGGGGUUAGAUACAGUUUGUGCUAAGUUAUAGCUUUUCAUAGACAACUUGUUGACUAUGUUUAGUCUUGUAGCUUACUCGCUGAUGCUAUUUUACCUACGCUUAGGAUGUUGAUGUGAUACUGCGAGCA